rnacentral:lncRNA from 1 species
UUUUUUUUUUUUUUUUUUUUUUUUUUUUUUUNGGGUCGCACUCGUGGCACAUGGAGGUUCCCAGGCUAGGGGUCUAAUUGGAGCUGUAGCUGCCGGCCUACACCACAGCCACAGCAACACCAGAUCCAAGCUGCGUCUUCGACCUACACCACAGUUCAUGGCAACACCAGAUCAUUAACCCACUGAGCAAGGCCAGGGAAUCAAACCCGCAACCUCAAGUUACCUAGUAGGAUUCGUUAACCACUGAGCCACAACAGGAACUCCGAGAUGGCUUAUUUUCAAUGAUAACAGUAUAUUGAGUAUCUAUAUACAGGACCUGGAUCUAAGUAUUUUAUGUGUUAUACGACUCAGCCUUCACACAAUCCCAUGCAGCAGGUUCCUUUAUCAACCGUCCCAUUUCAAGGAAGAGAAAUGGCACAAAGAGGUCAGAUCACAUACCAGGAUUCAGACCCAUGAGGUCUGGCUCCAGAGCCUUUACUCUUCAUUCUUUUAAUGUUUUGUUAUAAAAUGUUUCAACCCAUAUCAAAGAGUACAAAAAAUAAUUAUCCCCAUAUACUCACAACCUAAAUUUAAUAAUUAUGAUUUGGUGCCAGACUUGCCUCCUAAUUUUUACAGAACUAUUCUGAAAUGAAUUACAGACAACAUGACAUUUAUUUCACCCACAAAUAAGAUAAAAGGCACCUUUUAUUUUUUUUUAUUUUAUUAUUAUUUUUUUUUUUUUUUGUCUUUUUGCCUUUUUUAGGACCGCACCUGAGGCAUAUGGAGCGGCCCAAGAAAUGGCAAAAAGACAAAAAAAAAAAAAAAAGUUUCCCUCUACCAAAACAUGAGUUCUCUGAAGGUCUAAAGAAGAUGAGGGAAAGGAGAUGGAGCUCUGGGUAGAAGGAAAUGCAGAAGAAAGCCAAGAUAGCAGUUCACUUAUCCAGUGCCUCUUUUGAGAUGAUGUGGUUGGGCUGGGUUUAAACAUGCCCUAGGAAAUGAAGGUUUUGGAUAGGUUUCACUGUCUUCUCUACGUGACUCAAAAGAAGAAAAGUUCAAGGAACAUGAGCUGGCAGGAAGAUCAUUUAGUCCUCCACGUGCUCUAAGUGAGCUGGCAGAGCAGCUCUGAUGGAGCCCUGGUUGAGGGCAUUCUCUAGGGCAUUCAGACACAUGACUAAUGACAGGCCAAGGGUGCAAAGCAACAGGCUGAGAGGUGUAGGCUUUUCAACACAGGCCCAGAAAUCCCAGAACCAUGGCCCUUCUUCCGAAAGAAUCUGAGGGCCAAAAUAGUCUGAAGCCACAGCUGACCAUCCAGAUGGCCUCCUCAAGGGAAUUAGAGCCUGUGAUGACCAAGCAAGGAUAUCGGGUCACCUGUCAGGCCAGCAUCAGGGGUCCAAUCAAGCAGUCUAGAGCUGCUGAGACAAAAGUCCUCAGAAGGAUGCAAAGUCUUCAGAGAGCCUGGGCAUAAAGGUCCUAAGACCACUUACCACCUGGUUUCUACCCCUGCUGUUGUCCAGUUAGCUCGGAAUGCUGAAGAUGGAAGAGGCACCGGAGACCCCCUAGCUCACCUCCCUCAUUGGUCUCAGAGAGGGAAAGAGGUUUAACCAACCUCAUCAAUCACAAUGCUGUGCUCAUGAUACCCAGCCCACUGCUCUGUCCUGUUGAACCCAACCACUAGGCACCAUCAUUUGCCUGCUUCUUUUCUUCCUCUCUGCACUUGCCUGGCCUGUCUGGUUUGCCAGUCUCCCAGUUUCUGCCACUUUCACAGGGAAUAUAGUUGCCAUUUUCCCUGGUCAAAUGAGAAACCCCUGCCCAUGACAACUUGGGCUACUCGAGCCCCAGAGCCUUGGAGUGAGAAGAGGGUAAAACACAGAAGUUGUCCUGUGUCCACAGAAGCGGAGAAAUUUUGGUUAAAAAACAACAGCAUACAACUCCACUGCAAAAGCAGCAGAGCAACAGCUCACAGCUGGACUUCCUUUUUUUAUUUAUUUAUUAUCUAUUUCAACUGAUCUUAUUUAAUGCAUCCUUUCUAUAGAAUACCUAGGCCAAUGGUAAAGGAAUUAGCUUUAUUUGGAAAAGGCGAAAGUGACUGGAACUGGCCCUUUUAGGAGGCUGAGGGGACUCAGAAAGCAGAUCCUACCUAGCAAGGCAAGAGGGACACCAGACCCAGUAGAGACCACUCAUUCAAAUAUUCACCAGACAGACACAUGGGCGUCAGCAGUGCAGCCUUGAAUGAAUGAACCUCCACCACCCAUCACCCUCUGGCUGGAGCUCCUUGAAGACAGACUGCACCAUACUCCCCUCUGCACUACUGUGCCUGGGUUUGUGAGAAGUGCUCACUAAAUGCUUUUGCUGGAGGAAUCAACCACACCGCCCUCCUGCGUGCUUACAUGCAUACAAACACAUGUAUACAUGUAAAUAGAAACCUCAUGUAGAUAGAAAUCUCAACAAAGACAGUCUUAAAAGCCCCAUUUAUAAACCUGUUUUCCAAAAAAUUAUUUUUUUUGGGUUUAGGGGUUUUCGUUUUGUUUUGUUUGGGGUUUUUUGUUUGUUUGUUUUUAGUGCCCAGAUUUUUAAAGUUUUAUUGAAGUGUAGUUGAUUCACAAUGUUGUG